rnacentral:rRNA from 1 species
GACGAACGCUGGCGGCGUGCUUAACACAUGCAAGUCGAACGGAAAGGCCCCUUUGGGGGUACUCGAGUGGCGAACGGGUGAGUAACACGUGAGUAACCUGCCCUUGACUUCGGGAUAACUUCAGGAAACUGGGGCUAAUACCGGAUAGGAAUCCUUGCUGCAUGGUGGGGGUUGGAAAGCUUCGGCGGUUUUGGAUGGACUCGCUGCUUAUCUGCUUGUUGGUGGGGUAGUGGCUUACCAAGGCUUUGACGGGUAGCCGGACUGUGGGGGCGACCGGCCACAUUGGGACCGAGGGAAGGCCCAGACACCUACGGGAGGGAGCAGUGGGGAAUAUUGAACGAGGGGCGGCAGCCUGAUGCAGCAAGGCCGCGGGCGGGAUGACGGCCUUAGGGUUGUAAACCGCUUUCAGCAGGGGCGAAGCUUGUCGUGACGGUACCUGCAGAAGAAGCACCGGCUAACUACGUG